rnacentral:rRNA from 1 species
AGAGUUUGAUCCUGGCUCAGAACGAACGCUGGCGGCAGGCCUAACACAUGCAAGUCGAGCUCACUCUUCGGAGUGAGCGGCGGACGGGUUAGUAACGCGUGGGAAUAUACCCUUUUCUACGGAAUAGCCUCGGGAAACUGAGAGUAAUACCGUAUACGCCCUUCGGGGGAAAGAUUUAUCGGUGAAGGAUUAGCCCGCGUAAGAUUAGAUAGUUGGUGGGGUAAUGGCCUACCAAGUCUACGAUCUUUAGCUGGUUUGAGAGGAUGAUCAGCAACACUGGGACUGAGUCACGGCCCAGACUCCUACGGGAGGCAGCAGUGGGGAAUCUUAGACAAUGGGCGCAAGCCUGAUCUAGCCAUGCCGCGUGAGUGACGAAGGCCUUAGGGUCGUAAAGCUCUUUCGCCAGAGAUGAUAAUGACAGCAUCUGGUAAAGAAACCCCGGCUAACUCCGUGCCAGCAGCCGCGGUAAUACGGAGGGGGUUAGCGUUGUUCGGAAUUACUGGGCGUAAAGCGUACGUAGGCGGAUUGGAAAGUAGGGGGUGAAAUCCCAGGGCUCAACCCUGGAACUGCCUCCUAAACUAUCAGUCUAGAGUUCGAGAGAGGUGAGUGGAAUUCCAAGUGUAGAGGUGAAAUUCGUAGAUAUUUGGAGGAACACCAGUGGCGAAGGCGGCUCACUGGCUCGAUACUGACGCUGAGGUACGAAAGUGUGGGGAGCAAACAGGAUUAGAUACCCUGGUAGUCCACACCGUAAACGAUGAAUGCCAGACGUCGGGGGGCUUGCCCUUCGGUGUCACACCUAACGGAUUAAGCAUUCCGCCUGGGGAGUACGGUCGCAAGAUUAAAACUCAAAGGAAUUGACGGGGGCCCGCACAAGCGGUGGAGCAUGUGGUUUAAUUCGAAGCAACGCGCAGAACCUUACCAACCCUUGACAUCCUUGGACCGCCAGAGAGAUCUGGUUUUCUCGUAAGAGACCAAGUGACAGGUGCUGCAUGGCUGUCGUCAGCUCGUGUCGUGAGAUGUUCGGUUAAGUCCGGCAACGAGCGCAACCCACAUCCUUAGUUGCCAGCAGUUCGGCUGGGCACUCUAGGGAAACUGCCCGUGAUAAGCGGGAGGAAGGUGUGGAUGACGUCAAGUCCUCAUGGCCCUUACGGGUUGGGCUACACACGUGCUACAAUGGCAUCUACAGUGAGUUAAUCUCCAAAAGAUGUCCCAGUUCGGAUUGGGGUCUGCAACUCGACCCCAUGAAGUCGGAAUCGCUAGUAAUCGCGUAACAGCAUGACGCGGUGAAUACGUUCCCGGGCCUUGUACACACCGCCCGUCACACCAUGGGAGUUGGUUCUACCCGACGACGCUGCGCUAACCCUUCGGGGAGGCAGGCGGCCACGGUAGGAUCAGCGACUGGGGUGAAGUCGUAACAAGGUA